AACGUAGGAGACGAGCGUUAUCCGGAUUUACUGGGCGUAAAGCGCGUGCAGGCGGUUAGGUAAGUCACUUGUGAAAGCGCCCGGCUCAACUGGGCGAGGCCGUGUGAGACUGCUUGACUUGAGAGAGGUAGAGGCGAAUGGAAUUCCGGGUGGAGUGGUGAAAUGCGUAGAGAUCCGGAGGAACACCAGUGGCGAAGGCGAUUCGCUGGGCCUGCUCUGACGCUCAGACGCGACAGCAUGGGGAGCGAACGGGAUUAGAAACCCCCGUAGUCC
rnacentral:rRNA from 1 species